CCCUCGCACUAAUGGCGAAGCUGAGACUCGUGUUUUCUCUCCCUGUCGUUCUCUGUGCCAUGAUGGCCGUCUGAAAGAGAGAGAGAGAGAGGCGAGCUGAGCGAAAGAGCGACACUCGACGAGUGACUUUUGAGUGGUUUCGCAGUUUGAGCUGUUUCGCGAUUUUAUGUUUAUGACGUGAGAAUGCGAAUUGAGCAAAACUUUCUGCUCGCCUUUGCGUGUACAGCAGCAUCUUCCGACUUACGGUCAAUCGCAGGUGCAGUUCCAGUUUGAUCCAUUUGCCAAUAUAUUGGGUGAUGCCUGUAGUCAAGCGGCGGAAUCGGCAUCGACAGCAUGGCGGAAGCAUUUAUCACCCUUCUUGGACACAACGGUGUGUGGCCAAGCCAUCAUGUCCAGCCACGAACUUAGCAGCUUAUUCCAAAAAAUGCAGAAGUGGAGAGCCUUAGGAAUACGGACUGAAUGCUCCGGGGGGAAAAUUAUAUUCAAUGGCAUUUUAGAGCUAUACCAAAAAUUUGGAUUCACCAUUUCACGCUCCGACUGCCGACAACUAAGCUCGGAGUUGGUUGAGCCCUGUCCGCAGGAGAAUCAGGAGUACUGGUGCCCAAAGAAUGCCGGGGCUCCUAUGUACGACUGCAUCCGUGAUCGCAAUAGGUCCGAGGACGAAAAAAUACUGAGAAGAACAAAACAGAAAGAGAGGAGAGCUGCCAAGAGGAGGCGACAAGUGUCGAACACACACUCGAUUAACUCUUAGCCGAUUAGAUGGUUUCCUGAGCCUUGCCGAUAGAAUGCGAAAAACAGCAAAAA